ensembl:lncRNA
UCUGCUACACUUCUCUUACAACCCCCCCCCCCCCCCCCAGCCCUUCUCCUCUGUCCUCCUGAUCCAGGUAGAACCCUGCUGUCUCCUCAUGUCAUGUCACCAUGGAGACGUGUUCUGCGAGUGUUGUAGAGUUUAGCGGAAUCCAAUUGGCCCGGUAGAGCACUUAUGCAAUCAGUGGCUCCUGGUUGUGUAUGCUACUUUAUCAUGUAUAUAUUAUCUACUGUAUAUAUUCCUGGAGACCAGGUGACUUCGGGACAGAUUUGACCCACAUAUGGUGCCGACCUAGGCCUGAUCCAGGUCUAGAUCAGGUCUAGAUCAGGUGUAGAUCAGGUGUAGAUUAGGUCUAGAUCAGGUCUACAUCAGGUCUACAUCAGGACUAGAUCAGGUCUAGAUCAGGUCUAGAUCAGGUCUACAUCAGGUCUAGAACAGGACUAGAUCAGGUCUACAUCAGGACUAGAUCAGGUCUAGAUCAGGUCUAGAUCAGGACUAGAUCAGGACUAGAUCAGGUCUAGAUCAGGUCUACAUCAGGUCUAGAUCAGGUCUAGAUUAGGUCUAGAUCAGGGCCAGAUCUGUACCAGAGUCAGCUGUCUGGGUUUAGAUAUUUAAAAUAGAUGAAGAACAUUUGUGAAGUAUAACGAUCACAGGUCCAUGUUUAGGUUCCUUCUUUUUGUUUUGCAUUUUUUUGUAAGUAUAUGUAGUUGAGUGUGUUCUGGGUCUUUGUGUCGCCUCCUGCUGUGUAAUCUCUUUACUUUUAUGAUGAAGGACGACACUAACCGAGGCAGCUUUGCCACCCAACUAGCGUUGAAUGUGGGGACAUUAGGUGUCCGGAUCUGCCUGGGUUAGUUCCAGUUUUUAAGGGCACAAUUCAAAGAGAUGAAUCUGAUGAGAAACUGUGAACGCCGUGGGCAGCAUUUGGUGGAAAAAAGUGGGAUUUCCUGUCACUUUUAGAACUUCUUUUUCUUUUACAAAAACCUCUACAGCAUACUGUGUACAUCUGACAAUCUUGCUAUUCUGAGAUUCAGAAUAGAUUUAUCUUUCUUCAGAAUAGAUUUAUCUUUCUGAAUCGUUCCCUAGUUUCACUUCUGCCUCAUUGGAGUCUGUGCACUGAAUAUUUCGGAUUAUUUAUCGUACGUUAAAAAAAACAAUCAGAAACACACUGUUCACACCCCCUUGGUUUCAUACACUG